UGGGGGAUAUUGCGCAAUGGGCGAAAGCCUGACGCAGCGACGCCGCGUGAGUGAUGAAGGCCCUCGGGUCGUAAAGCUCUGUCGAGGGGGACGAAACAGUUUCGGGCCAAUACCCCGGAGCCCUGACGGUACCCCUAAAGGAAGCACCGGCUAACUCCGUGCCAGCAGCCGCGGUAAUACGGAGGGUGCAAGCGUUGUUCGGAAUUACUGGGCGUAAAGCGCGUGUAGGCGGCCGGCUAAGUCUGAUGUGAAAGCCCGGGGCUCACCCCCGGAAGUGCAUUGGAAACUGGCAGGCUCGAGUCCCGGAGAGGAGGGUGGAAUUCCUGGUGUAGCGGUGAAAUGCGUAGAUAUCAGGAGGAACACCGGUGGCGAAGGCGGCCCUCUGGACGGUGACUGACGCUGAGACGCGAAAGCGUGGGGAGCAAACAGGAUUAGAUACCCCCGUAGUCC
rnacentral:rRNA from 1 species